GUGGGGAAUAUUGGGCAAUGGGCGAAAGCCUGACCCAGCAACGCCGCGUGAAGGAAGAAGGUCUUCGGAUCGUAAACUUCUAUCCUUGGUGAAGAUAAUGACGGUAGCCGAGAAGGAAGCCCCGGCUAACUACGUGCCAGCAGCCGCGGUAAUACGUAGGGGGCAAGCGUUGUCCGGAAUGAUUGGGCGUAAAGGGCGCGUAGGCGGCCUGGUAAGUCUGGAGUGAAAGUCCUGCUGUUAAGGUGGGAAUUGCUUUGGAUACUGUCGGGCUUGAGUGCAGGAGAGGUAAGUGGAAUUCCCGGUGUAGCGGUGAAAUGCGUAGAGAUCGGGAGGAACACCAGUGGCGAAGGCGACUUACUGGACUGUAACUGACGCUGAGGCGCGAAAGUGUGGGGAGCAAACAGGAUUAGAAACCCCUGUAGUCC
rnacentral:rRNA from 1 species